rnacentral:rRNA from 1 species
AGAAAGAAACUAACAAGGAUUCCCUCAGUAACGGCGAGUGAAGCGGGAAGAGCUCAAAUUUAAAAUCUGGUUUGCUUGCAAGCCCGAGUUGUAGUCUGAAGAAACGUUUUCCAUAAGCACUGAGGCAAAAGUCCCUUGGAACAGGGCAUCAUAGAGGGUGAGAAUCCCGUCCAUGGYCUCAAGUUGUUUAUUUUGUGAUACGUUUUCAAAGAGUCAGGUUGUUUGGGAAUGCAGCCUAAAAUGGGUGGUAAAUUUCAUCUAAAGCUAAAUAUUGGCGAGAGACCGAUAGCGAACAAGUACCGUGAGGGAAAGAUGAAAAGAACUUUGAAAAGAGAGUUAAACAGUACGUGAAAUUGUUGAAAGGGAACCGUUUGAAGCCAGUCUUACUUGCCUGUGAUCAAUUUUUGCYUCGGCAUGAAUGCACUCUYGGGUAUGGUAGGCCAACGACAGUUUGGAAUGCGAGAAAAAAAUAGAGGAAAUGUGGCCUUCGGGUGUUAUAGUCCUCUAUAAAAUAUCGUGUUCUGGACUGAGGAUCGCAGCAAAAAUGUGGGCAGGUGGAUUUCUGUGGUAACUGUCGGUUAGGACAACUUGUUGACCUAGUCUUCCUUAGCCUCACUAUUUACCUCGCUUCUAAUUUGCUUAGGUCGUUGGCAUAAUGGCUUUAAACGACCGA